rnacentral:rRNA from 1 species
CUGAUGGCGAGUGGCGAACGGGUGAGUAAUGCAUCGGAACGUGCCCAGUCGUGGGGGAUAACGCAGCGAAAGCUGUGCUAAUACCGCAUACGAUCUAAGGAUGAAAGCGGGGGACCUUCGGGCCUCGCGCGAUUGGAGCGGCCGAUGGCUGAUUAGCUAGUUGGUGGGGUAAAGGCUCACCAAGCCGACGAUCUAUAGCUGGUCUGAGAGGACGACCAGCCACACUGGAACUGAGACACGGUCCAGACUCC